rnacentral:rRNA from 1 species
UCCGGUGACAAUGGCGGGGAGGACACACCUGUACCCAUCCCGAACACAGAAGUUAAGCUCCCCAGCGCCGAUGAUACCUGGCGGGAGACUGCCCGGGAAAGCAGGACGUUGCCGGUU